GACGUAGGGCGCGAGCGUUGUCCGGAUUUAUUGGGCGUAAAGAGCUCGUAGGCGGCUCAUUGCGUCUCGGUGAAAACCCGUGGCUUAACUGCGGGCUUGCCGACGAUACGGGUGGGCUGGAGUUCGGUAGGGGAGACUGGAAUUCCUGGUGUAGCGGUGAAAUGCGCAGAUAUCAGGAGGAACACCGGUGGCGAAGGCGG
rnacentral:rRNA from 1 species